GGGCUAAUAAGAUAACUAAUCUUUAAGUCUUUUAAACUUAAAAUGCCUCAAGGCUUAGUCCG
rnacentral:tRNA from 1 species